UACGGGGGGGGCAAGCGUUGUUCGGAAUUACUGGGCGUAAAGGGCUCGUAGGUGGCCAACUAAGUCAGACGUGAAAUCCCCUCAGCUUAACUGGGGAACUGCGUCUGAUACUGGAUGGCUUGAGUUUGGGAGAGGGAUGCGGAAUUCCAGGUGUAGCGGUGAAAUGCGUAGAUAUCAGGAGGAACACCCGUAGCGAAGGCGGCACUCUGGGCCGAUUCUGACACUGAGGAGCGAAAGCGUGGGGGAGCGAACAGG
rnacentral:rRNA from 1 species